UUCCAGACUCCUACGGGAGGCAGCAGUGGGGGAUAUUGCACAAUGGGGGGAACCCUGAUGCAGCGACGCCGCGUGGGUGAAGAAGUAUUUCGGUAUGUAAAGCCCUAUCGGCAGGGAAGAAAUUGGACGGUACCUGACUAAGAAGCCCUGACUAACUACGUGCCAGCAGCCGCGGUAAUACGUAGGGGGCAAGCGUUAUCCGGAUUCACUGGGUGUAAAGGGAGCGUAGACGGCCAUGCAAGCCUGGAGUGAAAGCCCGGGGCCCAACCCCGGGACUGCUCUGGGAACUGUGCGGCUGGAGUGCGGGAGGGGCAGGCGGAAUUCCUGGUGUAGCGGUGAAAUGCGUAGAUAUCAGGAGGAACACCGGCGGCGAAGGCGGCCUGCUGGACCGCGACUGACGUUGAGGCUCGAAAGCGUGGGGAGCAAACAGGAUUAGAUACCCUCGUA
rnacentral:rRNA from 1 species